CUACAACAACCUACAAAUCCUUGAAAUAACCUCCUUUUAUAUAUAUACAUACACGGCAGAGAAAGAUAAUCAAAAAGAGAAAGAAAAUACAGGCUCACUACCGGAUAGAAAAAUAACCUAGAGAAAGGGGAAGAGAAGUAUUGGAAAUAAAGUUUCAUACAGCAAAUAUUUUAAUCACGUAUUUUUCAAAGUGGAGAAAAGAUUUUGAACGUGCAUUCAAAUUUUUCAAACAAGGUAAGAUACAUUAUGUGCAAAGUGUUUUAGUUUCCUUCUGCUCUUAUAUGCAAUUAAAUAUGCAUGGAUUGCUACUGGACCUCCGGGUUCUAGAGAAAGAGAUAUGAAAUUCCUACGGGGAUUUAAGAGGACCUAAAAUAGGUGUGUCGUUAGUCACUAAUAUACUCCAUAAGAGAAGAGCCGUAUGAAGUGUAUAAUUUAUUUGUUAUGUAAUUGUAUAUGGAAACUGCACGUAUCUUACUAGGUAUUUUUAAAUACUCACUCUUACAUUAAUUUUACAUGCUAGUUCGGGCCGAUUGGAAUGGUGGCGAAUUGGUGAUACAGGCUGCCAAGUGGAUACAGAAUAGAGAAAGAAAUAAGUUUGCCGUUUUUAAAAUUUAUCAGUUAGUUUAAUUU
rnacentral:lncRNA from 1 species